GCCCGCCAGAUCCGGUCGCCGCCGGAUCCCCUUCUCCACCGUCGUCCUAUGCCACACGGGGCCAAGGUCCUCAUGGCGCUGCCAGCAUCUUUCCGUCAGGCCAAGCUGCCCUCCGCUGGGAUUUUCCGCCACCACCAUCCGAAAGAUCAAUAUGGAGCGUGCGAUCGCCUGGUUCUAAUUCGGUCUGGCUAGAGUUUUACUCAUCCAACCAACAAAGGGUUCCUCUUCCGCUGCUUGUAGUGCUGUUGCUGCUGCUGCUGCUGCUGCUGUCCAUCCGGCCUCCUAAUGAUUCCCGUCCAUUCGUGAGGCCGAGCCGCACCUGUUUUCUUCGACUGGGACCGCGACCACCAUUGCAAGGUCCUCAUGGUGCUGCCACCGUCUUUCCGUCAGGCCAAGCUGCCCCUGUUGUUUUCCUCCGCUGGGAUAUUCCGCCACCACAAUCCGAAAGAUCAAUAUGGAGCGUGCGAUCGCCUGGUUCUAAUUUGGUCUGGCUAGGUUUUUCUCAUCCAACAAAGGGUUCCUCUUCCGCUGCUUGUUGUGCUGCUCCUGCUGUCCAUCCGGACUCCUGAUGAUUCCCGUCUGUCCGUGAGGCCGAGCCGCACCUGUUUUUUUCAACUGGGACUGCGACCACCAUUGCAAGAUGAACAUGGAACGUGCCUUAUAGCUGAUGAAUAAUUGUCUGCGGGUUUAGGAGAGCCACUCGGACAACGCCGGAGACAAGAACGAAUCGUAGUAAGGUUCUGGAGGACUUCCUCCUCUCGGAUGUUGAGGACAAAAACGAGUACCAAUGGAUAGGGCGAAAACCCCAACUUACCUUAGUAUGGUGGAACAGACCAAAGUGGCAGCGAUGGCAAGGAUCCACAGCUCCCUCUGCAUCUCCUCGCCGGCAGCAUGCUUGCCACGCUUCUUUGACGACGAGGAGGACACAGCCAGCGCCGUGGCUGCGGCGGUGUCCGCGAGAAAGGCGACCUGGUGGAAGAUGGAUGCCGAUGCGGCAGCAGUGUCGCUGACAACUUCGGCCACCGUCCGCGCCACCUCGAGCUCGGACUAGAACCAAGCGGCGGCGUGGAUGGGC